rnacentral:tRNA from 1 species
GCCUGGGUGGCUCAGUUGGUAGAGCGUCUGACUUUGGCUCAGGUCAUGAUCUCAUGGUUGUCAUGAGUUUGAGCCCCACCUUAGGCC